rnacentral:rRNA from 1 species
AGAGUUUGAUCAUGGCUCAGGACGAACGCUGGCGGCGUGCUUAACACAUGCAAGUCGAACGGAAAGGCCCCUUCGGGGGUACUCGAGUGGCGAACGGGUGAGUAACACGUGGGUGAUCUGCCCUGCACUUUGGGAUAAGCCUGGGAAACUGGGUCUAAUACCGAAUAGGACCGCAUGCUUCAUGGUGUGUGGUGGAAAGCUUUUGCGGUGUGGGAUGGGCCCGCGGCCUAUCAGCUUGUUGGUGGGGUAAUGGCCUACCAAGGCGACGACGGGUAGCCGGCCUGAGAGGGUGUCCGGCCACACUGGGACUGAGAUACGGCCCAGACUCCUACGGGAGGCAGCAGUGGGGAAUAUUGCACAAUGGGCGCAAGCCUGAUGCAGCGACGCCGCGUGGGGGAUGACGGCCUUCGGGUUGUAAACCUCUUUCAGUAUCGGCGAAGCUCCAGGAUUUUUCUUGGGGUGACGGUAGGUACAGAAGAAGCACCGGCCAACUACGUGCCAGCAGCCGCGGUAAUACGUAGGGUGCGAGCGUUGUCCGGAAUUACUGGGCGUAAAGAGCUCGUAGGUGGUUUGUCACGUUGUCUGUGAAAACUCACAGCUUAACUGUGGGCGUGCGGGCGAUACGGGCAGACUGAAGUACUGUAGGGGAGACUGGAAUUCCUGGUGUAGCGGUGGAAUGCGCAGAUAUCAGGAGGAACACCGGUGGCGAAGGCGGGUCUCCGGGCAGUAACUGACGCUGAGGAGCGAAAGCGUGGGGAGCGAAAAGGAUUAGAUACCCUGGUAGUCCAA